CGACCCGCCGGGGCUCCCCCGACAGCCCCUGCCCUCUGCGCCCCCCCUUCCAAGAAGAGCCCCUUCUCUCCGCGAGACCAGAAGAUUUUUAUUCAUUUGAGAGACCGAACAUGUGAGAGAGAGCAAGAGCAGAGGGAGAAGCAGGCUCCCUGCUGACCAGGGAGCCCAAUGUGGGGGUCAAUCCCAGGACCUCAGGAUCAUGACCUGAGCUGAAUGCUUCACUGACUGAGCCAUCCAGCUAGACUCCAGAAACAUCGACGUUGAACCCCGGAGGUAACAGCUGGUAUCCCUCUGCAUUGCUGAUGAACAGAAAAGCCUUUGCACCCCUAAUAGGAUGUGUCUUUUUGUUCUCGAACUGGUAUCCUUCACCGUAAUAGAAAAUUUUGAUCUAUUUAUACCUUAGAGUUUGUAUUGGGAAUGUCUGCUGGGAUUUCUUGGUCUCCAAUACAUUUAUAGUUUUUUUUUUCUCCUUUAAUUCUGAUCCUGAGUGCUUCUUCAACAUGCCAGCCUGUGUUUCAUCACGCAACCUUCACAUUAGCUGUGAAGCACUCCUCCUGGAAUGUUGUUCCUCUGACGUCCACGUGGCUCACUCCCUUGUUUUAUUUAGGUCUUUUGCCCAAAUGUCACUUAAAAGUGUUUUUCCUUACCAACCGUUAAAGGUGGAAUUAUAUUCAUUUGUUGAACUUCUAGCCCUCUACCUUGGAAUGGGACCUUAUUUGGAAAUAGGGUUGUUGCAGAUAUAAUUGGUUACGCUGAGGUUCCACUGGAGGAGGGUAGCCCCUAAUCCAAUAUAACUUGUGUCCUUAUAAAAGUGGUAAUUUGGGGGCACCUGGGUGGCCCAGUCAGUGAAGCUUCUGGCACUUGAUUUCGGCUCAGGUCAUGAUCUCAGGGCUGUGAUUUGGAGCCCUGUGUCAGACUCUGGGCUCCGGGCUCCGAGGAGUGUCUGCUGAAAAUUCUCCCUCUCCCUCUUCCUCUGCCCCUCCCCUACUCAUGCUGCCUCUAAAUAAAUAAAAUAUAUAUUUUUUUAAAUAAAGGGGGUAAUUUGGACACAGGCAUACACAGAGAGAGAAUGCCAUGUGAAGAUAAAGUCAGAGAUCAGUCUGGUCUUUCCACAAGCUAGACAGUGAAAAAGAUGUUGGCAACCCAGAAGCCAAGGCUGAGGGUCCUGGAACAGGUGCUCCAUCCCAGCCCACAGAAGGACCCAACCUGCUGACACCUUGAUCUGGGACUUGUGGCCUCCAGAACUGUGACGCAGUAGAGUCCCAGUUACGCCCCUAGGCUGUGGGACUCUGCUAGCAGCCCCCCAGGAAGCUACGCCGUGCCACCCACCGCAAAUCCAUCCUUUACUGUCCUGCUGCCUCAUAGACUGGGGAGCUUAAACAAAAUACAUUUAUC